rnacentral:misc_RNA from 1 species
UGUGGGAGCGGGCUUGCUCGCGAAUGCGCAGUGUCAGUUGAUACAUUCAUCACUGAUACACCGUAUUCGCGAGCAAGCCCGCUCCCACA